GCACUGCUGAAGAGUCUCAAAAUAGGACGAAACGGCCGUCCAGUGC
rnacentral:hammerhead_ribozyme from 1 species